CCUACGGGAGGCAGCAGUGGGGGAUAUUGCACAAUGGGGGGAACCCUGAUGCAGCGACGCCGCGUGGGUGAAGGAGCGUUUCGGCGCGUAAAGCCCUAUCGGCAGGAAAGAAGAUGACGGUACCUGGCCAAGAAGCACCGGCUAACUACGUGCCAGCAGCCGCGGUAAUACGUAGGGGGCAAGCGGUAUCCGGAUUUACUGGGUGUAAAGGGGGCGCAGACGGCAAUGCAAGCCAGGAGUGAAAGCCCGGGGCCCAACCCCGGGACUGCUCUUGGAACUGCAUGGCUGGAGUACAGGAGGGGCAGGCGGAAUUCCUAGUGUAGCGGUGAAAUGCGUAGAUAUUAGGAGGAACACCAGUGGCGAAGGCGGCCUGCUGGACUGUGACUGACGUUGAGGCCCGAAGGCGUGGGGAGCAAACAGGAUUAGAUACCCCAGUAGUC
rnacentral:rRNA from 1 species